rnacentral:rRNA from 1 species
AUUGAACGCUGGCGGCAGGCUUAACACAUGCAAGUCGAGCGGGGUGAUGGUGCUUGCACUAUCACUUAGCGGCGGACGGGUGAGUAAUGCUUAGGAAUCUGCCUAUUAGUGGGGGACAACAUCCCGAAAGGGAUGCUAAUACCGCAUACGUCCUACGGGAGAAAGCAGGGGAUCUUUAUGACCUUGCGCUAAUAGAUGAGCCUAAGUCGGAUUAGCUAGUUGGUGGGGUAAAGGCCUACCAAGGCGACGAUCUGUAGCGGGUCUGAGAGGAUGAUCCGCCACACUGGGACUGAGACACGGCCCAGACUCCUACGGGAGGCAGCAGUGGGGAAUAUUGGACAAUGGGGGGAACCCUGAUCCAGCCAUGCCGCGUGUGUGAAGAAGGCCUUAUGGUUGUAAAGCACUUUAAGCGAGGAGGAGGCUCUUUUGGUUAAUACCCAGAAUGAGUGGACGUUACUCGCAGAAUAAGCACCGGCUAACUCUGUGCCAGCAGCCGCAGUAA